rnacentral:rRNA from 1 species
AAAUUGAAGAGUUUGAUCAUGGCUCAGAUUGAACGCUGGCGGCAGGCCUAACACAUGCAAGUCGAACGGUAACAGGAAGCAGCUUGGCUGCUUUGCUGACGAGUGGCGGACGGGUGAGUAAUGUCUGGGAAACUGCCUGAUGGAGGGGGAUAACUACUGGAAACGGUGGCUAAUACCGCAUAACGUCGCAAGACCAAAGAGGGGGACCUUCGGGCCUCUUGCCAUCAGAUGUGCGUGAGUAAUGUCUGGGAAACUGCCUGAUGGAGGGGGAUAACUACUGGAAACGGUGGCUAAUACCGCAUAACGUCGCAAGACCAAAGAGGGGGACCUUCGGGCCUCUUGCCAUCAGAUGUGC